rnacentral:sRNA from 1 species
UCCAUCACACACAUAUAUAUAUAUAUAUAUAUAUAUAUAUGUGGAUGUAGGUGUGAGACAAGACACAAAGAGAGUUCUAGAGAGAAAGAGAAGAAACGAGAGUUUAUUCUUCAAGAAGCUUUCUCCUUCUUUGUUCUUUGUGUUUGAUCUUUGUUCUUCUUGAGAUUGUACCUGAAACCAAAGACAACAUCACAAGUCAAGUGGUGUUUGUAAUCUCUUUGAUAUAGUGAAGCUUUGGGAGCAAGAGAUCUCUCCUCAGACAUAGCGGUUAA